AGGUUUUGGCAGGAAGCAACUGCAUACGCCGAUGAGGUGGAUAAAAGUGUCGAAAAAACACCUCAGAAUAACCAGGAUGAUGCUUCUAUAUCCGCUCGUGUUACGAACCAAUCCAGCGGAGAAUUAGAUACAAGGCAUAGGAUCCUUACUUCAUACGAAGAUCCAAGUUUCAGUUUCCUACCCCCUGGUCAGACUUGGACCCAACUAUGGUCCGAACCAGCUCCGUCAUCACUUCAACCACAAGAUGUCGAUGUUGCUACAACAGUUGCACAAUCCUCAACUCUAGAAAAUCCAGGGGCAACAACCAUGUCAACAGUGGGCGCAAACUUGGCACACAUCGGUCACGAAAUAUCCCAUGUACAAUUGCCACCUACUACAGCCCCAACACAGCUAAACCAGGAAAAUGGAACCGAAGCACCAAUCAGCAACCGUAUUGUGACCGAGGUACAUGAAGGCACCGCUAGGGAUGUCCCUGAAACGAUUGGCACCCAAACUCAGGAAAAAAAGAAUAGGAAGAAGCGAGCUUGUCUUCGAAUAAAAGAGGACACAAAGCUCAAGAAGCUCAAGGUUAACAGUUCCUCUAUUGAUCUGUACAACAAGUACAUUACUACCAGAUGUGUGCGAUCUCCGACAAA